rfam:Larimichthys crocea isolate SSNF unplaced genomic scaffold scaffold14, whole genome shotgun sequence.
GUCGGCUAUGGGGACAUGUACCCCGUGACCAUCGGAGGGAAGAUCGUGGGCUCCCUGUGCGCCAUCGCCGGAGUGUUGACCAUCGCCCUCCCGGUUCCCGUCAUCGUUUCCAAU